CAAGUGAAGAGUUUGAUCCUGGCUCAGAGUGAACGCUGGCGGCAGGCCUAAUACAUGCAAGUCGAA
rnacentral:rRNA from 1 species